AGAGCGAACGCUGGCGGCAGGCUUAACACAUGCAAGUCGAGCGGGCGUAGCAAUACGUCAGCGGCAGACGGGUGAGUAACGCGUGGGAACAUACCUCUUGGUUCGGAACAACACAGGGAAACUUGUGCUAAUACCGGAUAAGCCCUUACGGGGAAAGAUUUAUCGCCGAGAGAUUGGCCCGCGUCUGAUUAGCUAGUUGGUAGGGUAAUGGCCUACCAAGGCGACGAUCAGUAGCUGGUCUGAGAGGAUGAUCAGCCACAUUGGGACUGAGACACGGCCCAAACUCCUACGGGAGGCAGCAGUGGGGAAUAUUGGACAAUGGGGGGCAACCCUGAUCCAGCCAUGCCGCGUGAGUGAUGAAGGCCCUAGGGUUGUAAAGCUCUUUGUGCGGGAAGAUAAUGACGGUACCGCAAGAAUAAGCCCCGGCUAACUUCGCGCCAGCAGCCGC
rnacentral:rRNA from 1 species